GUGAACGCUGGCGGUAGGCCUAACACCUGCAAGUCGAACGGCAGCACAGUAAGAGCUUGCUCUUACGGGUGGCGAGUGGCGGACGGGUGAGGAAUACAUCGGAAUCUACUUUUUCGUGGGGGAUAACGUAGGGAAACUUACGCUAAUACCGCAUACGACCUACGGGUGAAAGCAGGGGAUCUUCGGACCUUGCGCGAUUGAAUGAGCCGAUGUCGGAUUAGCUAGUUGGCGGGGUAAAGGCCCACCAAGGCGACGAUCCGUAGCUGGUCUGAGAGGAUGAUCAGCCACACUGUAACUGAGACACGGUCCAGACUCCUACGGGAGGCAGCAGUGGGGAAUAUUGGACAAUGGGCGCAAGCCUGAUCCAGCCAUACCGCGUGGGUGAAGAAGGCCUUCGGGUUGUAAAGCCCUUUUGUUGGGAAAGAAAAGCAGCAGGUUAAUACCCCGCUGUUCUGACGGUACCCAAAGAAUAAGCACCGGCUAACUUCGUG
rnacentral:rRNA from 1 species